ensembl:lncRNA
UAAUCCUAGAGCAGGUAAGAACAGGCUAGAGCAGGUAAGGCAAGGCUUGGUAAACAAUAGAGACUAUGGCAACCGAGCGCAUUACUUCGCAACGACAUAUAGUGACUGAACAGUCUCUUCUGUAGUGUGGUGUGAUUAGUCCACAGGAGAAGGUGACGUGUCUGUGUGUGGUUUUGGUUGUUGUAGUCGUCGGCCAUGUUUGUAGUUUGCCGUGCCUUCUGGGAAAUGGAGUCGCUAGUUUGCCGUGACAUGACGGCUAUCAAACUGGAGCUGCUAUAACCUUAUAGCCUAAUGUUAAGCUCUCACAAACAUAAUCAUAGGAAUAUUGAAGUCAAAUAAUAGAUUAAACCAUGAUGUAGUGCAGACCAGCAGUGUGGAAAAUGUUAGCAUUAGCUUUACCGUAUAACACUGACAUUUCCUUUCCUUUCCUACAAAAUGUAUUUCUGUCUUUUCAGAAUUGUAUUUUAUGUGUCUGCAUUUCAUCAGUUGCAGUAUUUUUUUUUUUCGUUUAUUUUGAUAUAUUUAUCUCUGAGGUACGUAGAUAUGUAUAAUUUAUCCAAACAUUUUAACUUCCUUUAUGUGUCUAAAUAUUCUUAGACAUCAAACGCUCCGUCUCAUCCAUUAUCCAUUUUGAAGGGGCAGACUGAGCUCAUGGUUUCCCUAACACCCCUCAUCAGCAGUAAAUACAGUCCAUUCAGCAGCAGCGUGAUGUCCUCAUCGAGCUGAAAGCACACACCGGAUCCUCUGGGUCCUGCACUAUAGAUCAGGCUGAGACAGCUCAGAGACACGAGCAAACACACAGAGCCGGCUCGCUCAUCACCGAUUCGGCUUCAUUCUUACAGUCCGGUGCAGAAUAAAAACACUACUAAUAGUGUGGUGGAACUGAAGAAGAACAUUUACAACAGUAACGAUAAGCGUUUUCAUUAUAUAUCACCCAUCAGCAGCUCAAAAAUACUUCACAUGGGACUCGAAGAACAUAAAGCAAACAGUUCUGAUCGAUUAAAACCAUUAACUGAAUGAAAAAUGAUCAGAAUGCAAAGGUAUGUAAAAAAAAAACAACAACAUGAAAUGUAAAUCAUAAAAAUAACACAGAAGAAAGGGGAAACAAACAAUGACACAGUUAUCAUCUAUCUUUAAAGAAGGCGUGGUCAGUGUCUCUUUUAUUAUCAGAGAAGGAGGCGUGGCCUCUGUGUCAGUACAAGUGAAAGACACAUGGUCCCUGUGUCAGUACCAGUGAAGGAGGAAUAGUCCUCUUUAAAGGAGGCGUGGCCCCUGUGUCAAUACCAGUGAAGGAGGAAUGGUCCUCCUUAAAGGAGACGCAAUACCAGUGAAGGAGGAAUGGUCCUCCUUAAAGGAGAUGUGGCCCCGGGUCAAUACCGGUGAAGGAGGAAUGGUCCUCCUUAAAGGAGGCGUGGCCCCUGUGUCAAUACCAGUGAAGGAGGAAUGGUCCUCCUUAAAGGAGACGUGGCCCGUGUCAAUACCGGUGAAGGAGGAAUGGUCCUCCUUAAAGGAGGCGUGGCCCCUGUGUCAAUACCAGUGAAGGAGGAAUGGUCCUCCUUAAAGGAGACAUGGCCGUGUCAAUACCAGUGAAGGAGGAAUGGUCCUCCUUAAAGGAGACGGCCCCUGUGUCAAUACCAGUGAAGGAGGAAUAGUCCUCCUUAAAGGAGGCGUGGCCCCUGUGUCAAUACCAAUGAAGGAGGAAUAGUCCUCCUUAAAGGAGGCGUGGCCCCUGUGUCAAUACCAGUGAAGGAGGAAUGGCCCCUGUGUCAAUACCAGUGAAGCGGGGUUAGCUAAUAUUUUUUUUAUUAUGAGAUUAUAAUAUCAUAAAUAUAAGACCCCUAAACUUAUUUCUAGACAUAUUUAUUAAUGUUAUGCUUGAAAUUGUAUUAUUCCAUUGGCAGAUCACUUUGCUUCUUUCUAGAAAUAAAUGCCAAUGCCAAAAAGAUAUUUUUACUUGCUAGGAUAUUUUUCCAGUAUUUAGUUACUAGGCACUAGCCAAUAUGAGUUUUCUAGCUAAACAUAUUUUCGAAAAUGAUGAUAAAUUGGUAUAAAAACGGCCUUUUUCCAGAUUCCCGUCAAAUUAGAGAACAAACAAAUUCUUUACCCGUUUAGCAAGAAAAACACCGAAACUCCUGAAUCCUCUUUGUUUGCUUUGUUUACUCUUUCACACUCUUACUUUUUCUCUUACCGUAUUGGUUGCUGGCUCCUGCGCGUCACCUUGUACCUGGACUUCUUUCAGGGCUAAAGUUUAUAUAUAGUUUGAUGUAUCUGAGCUGGUGUAUGGUGUAUGAGAAAACAUUUCACAGCACUGACUGUGUAUUAGUGCUACAGGAUUGUCCGUGCGUUUCACAGUAUCUCAAGAACAUCGUAUUGUAGAGUGAAUCAAUAAUCACCUGUUUUUCAUUCAGAUAUGAUGCACACUGUAGCUUUAAUUAAAGUGAAGCCAGGCGUAAUUAAAACGAGAGCCGACGCUGAAAUGUUUUGACCAGCGUCACACUGAGACAACUCAGGGACACGAGCCAACACACUAAGAAGGCC